rnacentral:rRNA from 1 species
AAUAUUGCACAAUGGAGGAAACUCUGAUGCAGCGACGCCGCGUGAACGAUGAAGGCUUUCGGGUCGUAAAGAUCUGUCCUAGGGGACGAUAAUGACGGUACCCUAGGAGGAAGCCCCGGCGAACUACGUGCCUGGACUCGCGGUAAUACGUAGGGGGCGAGCGUUGGGCGGAAUUAUUUGGCGUAAAGGGUUCGCAGGCGGUCUUUUAAGUCAGAUGUGAAAGAUCACGGCUCAAACGUGGUAAGCAUUUGAAACUGGGGGACUUGAGUUAUGGAGAGGAAAGUGGAAUUCCUAGUGUAGCGGUGAAAUGCGUAGAUAUUAGGAGGAAUACCAGUGGCGAAGGCGACUUUCUGGACAUAUACUGACGCUGAGGAACGAAAGCGUGGGGAGCAAACAG